UCUCCGUUGGUGAACCAGCGGAGGGAUCAUUACCGAGUUUACAACUCCCAAACCCCUGUGAACAUACCUGUUUUGUUGCUUCGGCGGUGCCCUCGCUCUCGCGGCGAGGCCCGCCAGAGGACCCAAACAAACUCCUUGACUUUGAUCUAGGAUUAUACUUCUGAGUGAUACAAAAAAUAAAAUCAAAACUUCCAACAACGGAUCUCUUGGUUCUG
rnacentral:misc_RNA from 1 species